rnacentral:tRNA from 1 species
GCCGCGGGCAGGGCGCGGCUCGUCGGCUCGUAGUCGGCCAGCGGGACGGUGCGGAUCCGGCCCGCGGCGCC